rnacentral:rRNA from 1 species
CUCCCCGAAACCACUUGAGGGUGGGCCUUCCGGGCUGACGCGCGGGGGUAGAGCACUGCUUGGGCUAGGGGCCUUCCCGGGUUACCGAACUCAGGCAAACUCCGAAUACCGCGCGGUGCACCGGGGGAGUUAGAGCACGAGGGAUAAGCUUCGUGCUCGAGAGGGGAACAGCCCAGACCACCAGCUAAGGCCCCCAAGUCCGUGCUCAGUGGGAAAGGAUGUGGGGUCGCGAAGACAACCAGGAUGUUGGCUUAGAAGCAGCCAUCAUUGAAAGAGUGCGUAAUAGCUCACUGGUCGAGCGACCCUGCGCCGAAAAUGACCCGGGGCUGAAGCACGGCGCCGAAGCUGUGGACGGGCGCAGGCCCGUGGUAGGGGAGCGUUGCCUGGGCGGCGAAGGUCGGCCGUGAGGUCGGCUGGAGCGCAGGCAAGUGAGAAUGCCGGCAUGAGUAGCGAAAAGGCCGGUGAGAAUCCGGCCCGCCGAAAGCCCAAGGGUUCCUGAGCAAGGCUCGUCCGCUCAGGGUUAGUCGGGACCUAAGCCGAGGCCGCAAGGCGUAGGCGAUGGGCAACCGGUUCAUAUUCCGGUACCACCGCGAAGCCGUUACGAGCGAUGGGGGGACGCAGGAGGGUAGGUACCGCCGGCCGCUGGAGAUGGCCGGUGCAAGCGAGUAGGGAGCCCCGGGAGGCAAAUCCCCCGGGGAGUCCCGAGACGCGAUGCCGAGCCCCCUCGGGGGCGAAGGGGCCGAUCCCCCACUGCCGAGAAAAGCCCCUAGCCAGGCUUCCGGUGCCCGUACCCGAAACCGACACAGGUGGGCGAGGCGAGAAGCCUAAGGCGCGCGGGAAAACCCUCGCUAAGGAACUCGGCAAAUUGACCCCGUAACUUCGGGAGAAGGGGUGCCCCCUGAGGUGAAGGCCCUGGCGGCCGGAGCUUGGGGGGUCGCAGAGAGCAGGCCCAGGCGACUGUUUAUCAAAAACACAGGUCCCUGCGAAGCCGAAAGGCGCAGUAUAGGGGCUGACGCCUGCCCGGUGCUGGAAGGUUAAGGGGAGGGGUGAGGGCGCAAGCCCGAGCUCCGAACCGAAGCCCCAGUAAACGGCGGCCGUAACUAUAACGGUCCUAAGGUAGCGAAAUUCCUUGUCGGGUAAGUUCCGACCCGCACGAAAGGCGUAACGACCUGGGCACUGUCUCGGCGAGGGGCCCGGUGAAAUUGAGCGGCCCGUGAAGACGCGGGCGACCCGCAGCUGGACGGAAAGACCCCGUGGAGCUUGACUGCAACCUGUCAUUGAACGUCGGCCGGCCAUGUAUAGGAUAGGUGGGAGGCUGCGAACCCGGGCCGCCAGGUUCGGGGGAGCCGACGGUGGAAUACCACCCUUGGACGGCGGGCGUUCUAACCGCGGCCCGUCAGCCGGGUCCGGGACCGUGGCAGGUGGGCAGUUUGACUGGGGCGGUCGCCUCCUAAAAGGUAACGGAGGCGCCCAAAGGUACCCUCAGCACGGUUGGAAAUCGUGCGCGGAGUGCAAAGGCACAAGGGUGCUUGACUGCGAGACCGACGGGUCGAGCAGGGGCGAAAGCCGGGCUUAGUGAUCUUACGGUCCUGGGUGGAAGGGCCGUGACUCAACGGAUAAAAGCUACCCCGGGGAUAACAGGCUGAUCUCCCCCAAGAGUCCACAUCGACGGGGAGGUUUGGCACCUCGAUGUCGGCUCAUCGCAUCCUGGGGCCGCAGCCGGUCCCAAGGGUUGGGCUGUUCGCCCAUUAAAGCGGUACGUGAGCUGGGUUCAGAACGUCGUGAGACAGUUCGGUCCCUAUCCACUGCGGGCGCAGGAGACUUGAGGGGAGCCUUCCCUAGUACGAGAGGACCGGGAAGGACCGACCGCUGGUAUCCCAGUUGUCCCGCCCGGGGCACGGCUGGAACGCCAUGUCGGGACCGGAUAAGCGCUGAAAGCAUCUAAGCGCGAAGCCGACCCCAAGAUGAGGUCUCCCAUCCCGCCAAGGGAGUAAGACCCCUGGUAGACCACCAGGUCGAUAGGCCGGGCGUGUAAGGACCGCAAGGUCUUCAGCGACCCGGUCCUAAUCGGUCGAGGCCUUCAC